CUGGGACGGGGAUCUCUAGAGAUUAACUGAGUUUGAUCCUGGCUCAGGACGAACGCUGGCGGCGUGCCUAAUACAUGCAAGUCGAACGAACUCUGGUAUUGAUUGGUGCUUGCAUCAUGAUUUACAUUUGAGUGAGUGGCGAACUGGUGAGUAACACGUGGGAAACCUGCCCAGAAGCGGGGGAUAACACCUGGAAACAGAUGCUAAUACCGCAUAACAACUUGGACCGCAUGGUCCGAGUUUGAAAGAUGGCUUCGGCUAUCACUUUUGGAUGGUCCCGCGGCGUAUUAGCUAGAUGGUGGGGUAACGGCUCACCAUGGCAAUGAUACGUAGCCGACCUGAGAGGGUAAUCGGCCACAUUGGGACUGAGACACGGCCCAAACUCCUACGGGAGGCAGCAGUAGGGAAUCUUCCACAAUGGACGAAAGUCUGAUGGAGCAACGCCGCGUGAGUGAAGAAGGGUUUCGGCUCGUAAAACUCUGUUGUUAAAGAAGAACAUAUCUGAGAGUAACUGUUCAGGUAUUGACGGUAUUUAACCAGAAAGCCACGGCUAACUACGUGCCAGCAGCCGCGGUAAUACGUAGGUGGCAAGCGUUGUCCGGAUUUAUUGGGCGUAAAGCGAGCGCAGGCGGUUUUUUAAGUCUGAUGUGAAAGCCUUCGGCUCAACCGAAGAAGUGCAUCGGAAACUGGGAAACUGGAGUGCAGAAGAGGACAGUGGAACUCCAUGUGUAGCGGUGAAAUGCGUAGAUAUAUGGAAGAACACCAGUGGCGAAGGCGGCUGUCUGGUCUGUAACUGACGCUGAGGCUCGAAAGUAUGGGUAGCAAACAGGAUUAGAUACCCUGGUAGUCCAUACCGUAAACGAUGAAUGCUAAGUGUUGGAGGGUUUCCGCCCUUCAGUGCUGCAGCUAACGCAUUAAGCAUUCCGCCUGGGGAGUACGGCCGCAAGGCUGAAACUCAAAGGAAUUGACGGGGGCCCGCACAAGCGGUGGAGCAUGUGGUUUAAUUCGAAGCUACGCGAAGAACCUUACCAGGUCUUGACAUACUAUGCAAAUCUAAGAGAUUAGACGUUCCCUUCGGGGACAUGGAUACAGGUGGUGCAUGGUUGUCGUCAGCUCGUGUCGUGAGAUGUUGGGUUAAGUCCCGCAACGAGCGCAACCCUUAUUAUCAGUUGCCAGCAUUAAGUUGGGCACUCUGGUGAGACUGCCGGUGACAAACCGGAGGAAGGUGGGGAUGACGUCAAAUCAUCAUGCCCCUUAUGACCUGGGCUACACACGUGCUACAAUGGAUGGUACAACGAGUUGCGAACUCGCGAGAGUAAGCUAAUCUCUUAAAGCCAUUCUCAGUUCGGAUUGUAGGCUGCAACUCGCCUACAUGAAGUCGGAAUCGCUAGUAAUCGCGGAUCAGCAUGCCGCGGUGAAUACGUUCCCGGGCCUUGUACACACCGCCCGUCACACCAUGAGAGUUUGUAACACCCAAAGUCGAUGGGGUAACCUUUUAGGAACCAGCCGCCUAAGGUGGGACAGAUGAUUAGGGUGAAGUCGUAACAAGGUAACCGUAAAUCGUCGACCUGCAGCAGCAGCACC
rnacentral:rRNA from 1 species